UUGCUUUAACAGCACAUGUACUAAAGUGGUAACAAUACACAGAUUAGCAUGGCCCCUGUGCAAGGAUGAUAACAUGAAAACUCAUGAAGCAUUCCAUGUUUUA